AACGAACGCUGGCGGCAGGCCUAACACAUGCAAGUCGAACGCUGUAGCAAUACAGAGUGGCAGACGGGUGAGUAACGCGUGGGAACAUGCCCUUCGGUUCGGAAUAACUCAGGGAAACUUGAGCUAAUACCGGAUACGCCCUUAGGGGGAAAGAUUUAUUGCCGAAGGAUUGGCCCGCGUCCGAUUAGCUAGUUGGUGAGGUAAUGGCUCACCAAGGCGACGAUCGGUAGCUGGUCUGAGAGGAUGAUCAGCCACACUGGGACUGAGACACGGCCCAGACUCCUACGGGAGGCAGCAGUGGGGAAUAUUGGACAAUGGGCGCAAGCCUGAUCCAGCCAUGCCGCGUGAGUGAUGAAGGCCCUAGGGUUGUAAAGCUCUUUCGCCAGGGACGAUAAUGACGGUACCUGGAUAAGAAGCCCCGGCUAACUUCGUGCCAGCAGCCGCCGCGG
rnacentral:rRNA from 1 species